GUUUUUCUAUAAGAAUUGUUUGAUGUAAUGUUAUUUUAUUAACACACAUAAUCUUAACGAUGGAUGUCUUGGUUCCUACAGCGAUGAAGGCCGCAAUUAAAUGCGAUAUUCUGUAUGUAUUAUAUACAACAUUUGAAUAAAGGCUGAAUGUAGAAUUAAAAU